UGAAGACAUGUUUUUAAUAUUGUUGACUUGCGAUAUCAAUAUUAAAAGCUAUGUCUUUUAA
rnacentral:precursor_RNA from 1 species